rnacentral:misc_RNA from 1 species
ACACACACACACACACACUAAAUAAUACCACAACAGCACUAUGUGGAUACCUCACGAAUUGACAGACCAAUCAUAGUUUUGGUACACAAUGUUGAUGGGGCCACCAUCUCCCAAAAGAUGUGUCAGAAGACCCGCUUUGGUUGCAUCCAAGUAGUUGAUAAUCCACUUGAGAAUGUCUCUCUCUUGUCCAAAAUCUGCGCUGAACCACUUGAUGAUCCGUGUGAGAUAAACUGCCCUCUUUUCCAAGUCCACCUCCAUUCCAGUUCUUUGGAAGAACUCCCUAGCAGCGUAUUUUAAUUCAGCUUCAAUUCCUUGGGCUGUGAAAAACCUUACUGUGGGACUUGACCUUGUCCCAUUGCAGAGCCCAAAAUGAAUUAAUGGAUUCACUUUAGGAAGAGCUAUCUCCAACCGUUUGUCUCCAGCUCCAAGGGGCUUUACCAACGAGUAGGGAGGUCUUCGAUUGUUUCUGAGAAUUCCAUUCUUUAUGGUAUUGAGCGAGUAAGCAGAUCCUCCUACAAUGUAUUGGAAGUCUGAAUUGAAGGAUCUCCGAUCGAUUACCCCUUCAGGGCACCCCAAUCUAAUUACAGCAUGGAUGGCCAUGGCAUUAUACAGGUUCAUAAAGAAGGCCAGUUUCUCAUCUGUUGAGAGUUCUAGUAGAUCCACCCUGUGGAGAUCUUCAGCCAAAUUUACAUAUCUUCUGAAUUCCUCACUUCUGCUAAUGCUAGCGUAAUCAACAUGGCACCUGUCAUCAGAGGCAUAGAACUCAAGUAUUGCAGACAUUAUUUUGUUGAGCUUUUGGCCAACCUUUAUUGCUGACUUGGGUUCACUGUCAUUUGUAGAUCCUCGAAAAUUGUAGCAUUUGGAAAUGAAUGGUUGAUGCUCAAGAAAACGAUAAUAGUGGUUUCCAUCUUCAAAGUCAUUUUCCCCAAAGACGUGAUGGAUGAAAUGCUUCCUUGCAAGCUGCUUGCCAAUCUCAACAGCCUUCUUUCUGCCGCAAUCCAGCUGCUGUAUCAGCACUUCCACCAUCUGAGACCCAGCAAAGCAGUUCUUCACAAUCUUCAUCUUCAUCACACGGUCCUGAAUAGGCAAUCUCUGUCUCAAAACCCUUACGAUCUCCACCAUAUCGUCCAUCGAUUCCUCCUCCGGUUCAUCAAACCCGUACACAGGAGCUGCCGGUGAAUCACCGGAGCAUUUACUCCCUAGCAUCUCCUUCAACCUCUGGUCGAAAAUUCCGCUGUUCCUCAACGAAUUCAACGCCACUAAACCGCCAAAUAGCUUAUCGUUGAAGAAAAUUUGUGGCACCUGUGAACUCCCUGUUCUUUCUAUAAGCUCUUGUGCUCUCUGUGGGAACACAUCGAUGUUAAUCUCGAUGAAUUUCAAUCCUUUCUGCCUAAAAAAUGAUCGUACUGCUGUGCAAUCCCUGCAAUUUGACCUCGAGAAGAAGCUUAUUCGUCCCUUUAAUUCUUCAUCGUUUUUGAGCCUCACUAUGACUUUGAGCCCCGAUAUGUUGAAUUCCGUAACAUCUGAGUCCACAGACUUCAUCUUAUUGUUAGUCUCCUUGUCUUCAUAGUUGUGGCUGUUAUUUCUCAGAGACGAUAAUCGAUUCGCAAUCGACGCCGAUAAGCUGUUGCUUCUUUCUUUAAUGAAUUUCCCGAUUGACGGCAUGUCGACUGUUAAACUUUCCGAUAAGGAUUUUGACCGAUUGAAAACAAGUCCGUCUUCUUUUGGCGUCGGAGAAGGCGCAAGGCCUGGUGGUGCCUCUGGCUUUGGGAGUUGAGACAGAGGUUGGAUUAUUUGUAGAUGAUCAUCGCCUGUAACGGCUAUAUUUUCCUCUUUCAUUACUUGACUGCUUUGGGGCGGGAUAAUUUCAGUAUUAUCCGACAUCUCAGGCAUGUGAGGAGUAUCGGGCGAGAUAAUUUGAAUAUCUUUGGGUAUUUCGGUCGUCGAGUCUUUUUUAUCUGCUAUUUGUCCGUCCUUGAUCUCAAUUUCGGAGCAUUCUUCCGGUUCCCCUUGAUUUUCCGAAUCCAACUUUAUCGGAAUCUCGUCAUCAAUUUUCCCAUUUAUAUGCCGGCCAUCAUCAACUCCAUUCUCCGGAGGGUUCCCUUUGACAGAAUCAUUGGUUUCUCCGUUAGAUAGCUUCAUUCUUUCGAAGGAAAUCAAAUGGGAGAACUCAGAGACACAUGUGAGAGAGAGAGAGAGAGAGA